AUACGGAGGACGCGAGCGUUAUCCGGAUUCAUUGGGUUUAAAGGGUGCGCAGGCGGCCGUGCAAGUCAGCGGUGAAAGCCCGGGGCUCAACCCCGGAAGUGCCGUUGAUACUGCAUGGCUGGAAUGCGGUCGAGGCGGGCGGAACGUGGCGUGUAGCGGGGAAAUGCGUAGAUAUGCCACAGAACGCCGAUAGCGGAGGCAGCUCGCCAGGCCUGCAUUGACGCUCGGGCACGAAAGCGUGGGGAUCGAACAGGAUUAGAUACCCUGGUAGUCGACGCCGUAAACGAUGGGCGCUCGUCGUCGGCGGCAGACAGUCGGCGGCCAAGCGAAAGCGAUAAGCGCCCCACCUGGGAAGUACGGUCGCAAGGCUGAAACUUAAAGGAAUUGACGGGG
rnacentral:rRNA from 1 species